rnacentral:lncRNA from 1 species
UCUACCCUGGUACCGCCUUUCUUUUCAAGAGACCAUUCUUCAACAGAACUGUAAGGUUUCUUCUUGGCUGAAUCAGAUGUGACGCAUCCCACUUCUGCGUUUGAGGCGAACAUACCGCUCCAAGGGCUUUGACGUCACAGUGAAGUACACACAAGGAAGCUGGACGGGCUUCGUUGGGGAAGACCUCGUCACCAUCCCCAAAGGCUUCAAUACUUCUUUUCUUGUCAACAUUGCCACUAUUUUUGAAUCAGAGAAUUUCUUUUUGCCUGGGAUUAAAUGGAAUGGAAUACUUGGCCUAGCUUAUGCCACACUUGCCAAGCAUCAAGUUCUCUGGAGACCUUCUUCGACUCCCUGGUGACACAAGCAAACAUCCCCAACGUUUUCUCCAUGCAGAUGUGUGGAG